rnacentral:rRNA from 1 species
CAGCCUGAUGCGCCAUGCCGCGUGUGUGAAGAAGGCCUUCGGGUUGUAAAGCACUUUCAGUCGUGAGGAAGGUGGUGUAGUUAAUAGCUGCAUUAUUUGACGUUAGCGACAGAAGAAGCACCGGCUAACUCCGUGCCAGCAGCCGCGGUAAUACGGAGGGUGCGAGCGUUAAUCGGAAUUACUGGGCGUAAAGCGCAUGCAGGUGGUUUGUUAAGUCAGAUGUGAAAGCCCGGGGCUCAACCUCGGAAUAGCAUUUGAAACUGGCAGACUAGAGUACUGUAGAGGGGGGUAGAAUUUCAGGUGUAGCGGUGAAAUGCGUAGAGAUCUGAAGGAAUACCGGUGGCGAAGGCGGCCCCCUGGACAGAUACUGACACUCAGAUGCGAAAGCGUGGGGAGCAAACAGGAUUAGAUACCCUGGUAGUCCACGCCGUAAACGAUGUCUACUUGGAGGUUGUGGCCUUGAGCCGUGGCUUUCGGAGCUAACGCGUUAAGUAGACCGCCUGGGGAGUACGGUCGCAAGAUUAAAACUCAAAUGAAUUGACGGGGGCCCGCACAAGCGGUGGAGCAUGUGGUUUAAUUCGAUGCAACGCGAAGAACCUUACCUACUCUUGACAUCCAGAGAACUUUCCAGAGAUGGAUUGGUGCCUUCGGGAACUCUGAGACAGGUGCUGCAUGGCUGUCGUCAGCUCGUGUUGUGAAAUGUUGGGUUAAGUCCCGCAACGAGCGCAACCCUUAUCCUUGUUUGCCAGCGAGUAAUGUCGGGAACUCCAGGGAGACUGCCGGUGAUAAACCGGAGGAAGGUGGGGACGACGUCAAGUCAUCAUGGCCCUUACGAGUAGGGCUACACACGUGCUACAAUGGCGCAUACAGAGGGCAGCCAACUUGCGAAAGUGAGCGAAUCCCAAAAAGUGCGUCGUAGUCCGGAUUGGAGUCUGCAACUCGACUCCAUGAAGUCGGAAUCGCUAGUAAUCGUGGAUCAGAAUGCCACGGUGAAUACGUUCCCGGGCCUUGUACACACCGCCCGUCACACCAUGGGAGUGGGCUGCAAAAGAAGUAGGUAGUUAACCUUCGGGGGGACCUUACCCUUUUGGUUCUUGAUGGGUGAUC